rnacentral:rRNA from 1 species
UACGUAGGGUGCGAGCGUUAAUCGGAAUUACUGGGCGUAAAGCGUGCGCAGGCGGCUUUGCAAGACAGAUGUGAAAUCCCCGGGCUCAACCUGGGAACUGCAUUUGUGACUGUAUAGCUAGAGUACGGCAGAGGGGGAUGGAAUUCCGCGUGUAGCAGUGAAAUGCGUAGAUAUGCGGAGGAACACCGAUGGCGAAGGCAAUCCCCU